rnacentral:rRNA from 1 species
CAACGCCGCGUGGAGGAUGAAGCCCCUUGGGGCGUAAACUCCUUUCGAUCGGGACGAUUAUGACGGUACCGGAAGAAGAACGCCCCGGCUAACUUCGUGC